rnacentral:rRNA from 1 species
UACGUAGGGUGCGAGCGUUGUCCGGAAUUAUUGGGCGUAAAGGGCUCGUAGGCGGUUUGUCGCGUCGGGAGUGAAAACCCAGGGCUUAACCCUGGGCUGGCUUCCGAUACGGGCAGACUAGAGGUAUGCAGGGGGAGAACGGAAUUCCUGGUGUAGCGGUGAAAUGCGCAGAUAUCAGGAGGAACACCGGUGGCGAAGGCGGAUCUCUGGGCCACUACUGACGCUGAGAAGCGAAAGCGUGGGGAGCGAACAGG